rnacentral:rRNA from 1 species
GACGAACGCUGGCGGCGUGCUUAACACAUGCAAGUCGAACGGUAAGGCCCUUCGGGGUACACGAGUGGCGAACGGGUGAGUAACACGUGGGUGAUCUGCCCUGCACUUCGGGAUAAGCCUGGGAAACUGGGUCUAAUACCGGAUAGGACCCUGGGAUGCAUGUCCUGGGGUGGAAAGCUUUUGCGGUGUGGGAUGGGCCCGCGGCCUAUCAGCUUGUUGGUGGGGUGAUGGCCUACCAAGGCGACGACGGGUAGCCGGCCUGAGAGGGUGACCGGCCACACUGGGACUGAGAUACGGCCCAGACUCCUACGGGAGGCAGCAGUGGGGAAUAUUGCACAAUGGGCGCAAGCCUGAUGCAGCGACGCCGCGUGAGGGAUGACGGCCUUCGGGUUGUAAACCUCUUUCAGCACCGACGAAGCGCAAGUGACGGUACCUAAAGAAGAAGCACCGGCUAACUACGUGCCAGCAGCCGCGGUAA